ensembl:lncRNA
UAGCAUUAACACUGGAGUAAGAGAUGUGUAGAUGAUGAUGUGCAAGUAGAGAUACUGGGGUGCAAGAGAGCAAGAGGAUAAAUAACAAUAUGGGGAUGAGGUAGUUGGGUGGGCUAUUUACAGAUGGGCUGUGUACAGGUACGGUGAUCGGUAAGCUGCUCUGACAGCUGGUGCUUAAAGUUAGAGAGGGAGACGUGAGACUCCAGCUUUCGAGAUUUUUGCCAUUUGUUCCAGUCAUUGGCAGCAGAGAACUGGAAGGAAAGGUGGCCAAAGGAAGUGUUGGCUUUGGGGAUGACCAGUGAAAUUUACCUGAAACACUGUACUCAGCAAAUUGAUGGAUGUGGUGGUGGUGUUGGAGGAUGAGGUGAUGGUGUUGUUGAAGGAGGAGGGGAUGGGGAUGGUGUUGUUGUUGGAGGAUGAGGUGAUGGUGUUGUUGGAGGAUGUGGUCUGAUGGUGAUGUGGGUGGUGUUGGAGGAUGUGGUCUGGUGUUGGAGGAUGUGGUCUGAUGGUGUUGGUGGUGUUGUUGGAGGAUGUGGUCUGAUUGUGUUGGAGGAUGUGGUCUGAUGGUGUUGAAGGAUGUGGUCUGAUGGUGUUGGUGGUGUUGUUGGAGGAUGUGGUGAUGGUGGUGUUGUUGGAGGAUGUGGUCUGAUGGUGUUGGUGGUGUUUUUGGAUGAUGUGGUCUGAUGGUGUUGGUGGUGUUGUUGGAGGAUGUGGUGUUGUUGGAGGAUGUGGAUGUGGUGUUGGUGUUGGAGAUGGGGUCUGAUGGUGUUGGUGGUGUUGGAGGAUGUGGUCUGAUGGUGUUGCUGGUGUUGUCAUGUUUGUGUUCCAGAGAGGUUCUUUCUGCCGGUGUCGUUACCCCAGCCGCCUCUUCAACCCUCCUCCGUCCCCCCCAGUUCCACCCCCCAGAGUAGCUCCCGGGAGGGGGGCAGGGACCGAGACAUACUCUACCGCGAGGAGAGGGAGAGAGAGGAGCCUCAGGAGGGGGGCAGAGCCCGAGACAGACUCUACCGUGUGGCGAGGGAGAGAGAGGAGCCCCAGGAGGGGGGCAGGGACCGAGACAGACUCUGCUGUGAGGAGAGAGAGGAGCCUCAGGAGGGGGGCAGGGACCGAGACAGACUCUACCACGAGGAGAGAGAGGAGCCCCGGGAGGGGGGCAGAGACAGACUCUACCGCGAGGAGAGAGGGCGAGGCGAGAGGGAGCGGUCGAGAGAGGAGCCUCGUCCAUACAGUGUGGUAGAUCUGACACAGGAUGGGAGGAGUGGAGAGAGAGAACGCCACAGAGAACGAGAGACUGAGCGAGACAGAGACCGAGAGAGAGAGGUUCUCCUCCACCACCCCUCUGCUUCUCGACCCCCCAGGGCUCCUCCUCUUCUGGGCGUUACCCAGAGACUGAUGACACACCCACUCGCUCCCCCAACCCUAACCCCAGCCCCCACACACACACAGACAGGCUGAGGAAGACUGAAUCUACCUACAGCGGUGCACUCCUUCCUGGCCCCGCCUACCCUGCACACCGGGAGCCUAUCAGGGAACAGCGUGUGAGCGCGCCCACUUACGUGCCUUCUGUGGAGGUCUAUGAUGAGCAGGUCGGCCCGAUCCAGAUCGCAUCGCAGGCCAGGGACAAACAGGACAAACUGAAAGAGAGAGA